AAAAAAACAAACCCUGAGUUUGCGUGUUCAACUUUAACUGUCCGUCUUAUAUAAAAUUUUUUUAUAAUUUAUAUUUUUAUUAUUGUUAGAUGAUAAAACAUAAUUAAUAUUUUAUGCGUGACUUGUCUUUUUAAUUUUUUUUAUAAUUUUUUUAAAUAAGACGGACGGUCAAACGUUGGACACGGAAACCAGGGUUUGUCUUUUU
rfam:Oryza rufipogon genomic scaffold, chr10